rnacentral:lncRNA from 1 species
UCCUCAGGAGGACCGGUUUUGAUGACCUAGUCUGAUUACAGCAUCUUUGACAACUUUAAAGGAAUUUGCUCGGGGGAAGACGACAGCUGCUGCUCUGAUGAAGGAUUUUUCUGAGCAGGCCUUCCAAGCAAGACAUGUCAGCAUGAGAUGCUGCCUACGCUUUUCAUCAUGACCAACAGGUGGUUAAACUGCAAUCAAAAGCACUUAGCAAGAAUGGAUCUGUCCCUGUUAUGAGAUUUGAACUCCUGACAUCUUUAUCCACUGGAACUUGAGUGCCCAGGACACACCAGAGAGGGGAUUUUGAGAACAUUUUACAAGCCUUGCAGCUGUGAGCCGGUUACAGCAUGAGGAAAAGCCCUCCAACACCCCAAUGUACAGGAAAGAGAAGCCUCUCUCCAGUUGCCAGGAAAGCCCUGCUUUCCAGCUGCACAACCAGUAUUAUCACUGUGUGCUAUUUUUGGCUGCUGAGUACAUUUCAAGUCACGUCAUCCUUCCCAAGCCAACACUGGCAUGAAGGGCGGAAACUCAUCUUUCCACUCCUUUGUCAUCUGCUGCUGCUCCCGUCUGCUCGCUGGCACUGCCUGCUCAGUCCCCGCGGCAGAGGGGUCUCCAGACAUUUUUCCCUGAUCCUCCCCAUUUCCUUGAGCGAGUGGCUUUCCAACCAAAGCUUCGUGUGGGAGGCUUCAUGUUGGCAUCCAGAGUACAUGUCCCAAAUAUGUCCAGACCCACCUUCUGAUCGUAGUGCACAGGAGCUCCUGGUAAGUAAUCUCUUGAUGGGUGAUAGUGUCCUCGUGCCCAACGCCCAGAAUUUUUCACAAGUGCCUUAUUUUUAAUGUCAUAUUCUUUCCAAACUAACAGUUCGGUAGGUUUCCAGCUCUUGUCAUACCUGUUAACACUGGGUCGCUGUCUGAGAGGAAAUUAUACCUUUUUUUUUUUUCCUGACACUGUGCAGCUUUGAUUUCCCUAGUUUGUUAAAGCCUAGUAAAUAUUAUAAAUGUCACUUCCUUUUUAAGGUUUUCGUUGGCUUGGUGCUAUCCCACCACCUAGCUGUUUAAUGUUUUUCUGUUCUGAUGUGACAUUGCUGUUGGGUGUUUGGAAAAUCUCAUAUGGACAAAAGUGUCUCGUGGAGUUAUGAAUCUCUUCAAAUAUAAGGUUUGGUUUCCUUGAAUGUACCACUGGAGGACUCCUCUCAGACAAAGCUGUAACCACUGCUAGUCUGAGCUGGGCAUCUUGUGUUGUGCCUCCCCGAAGCUGCUUCCUUUUUCCACAAAAUAAUUAAACAUUCAUUAUGCCAGAAAGUGUGUGUUUGUGUGUGU